rnacentral:rRNA from 1 species
AUGAACGCUGGCGGCGUGCCUAAUACAUGCAAGUCGAGCGAACGGACGAGAAGCUUGCUUCUCUGAUGUUAGCGGCGGACGGGUGAGUAACACGUGGAUAACCUACCUAUAAGACUGGGAUAACUUCGGGAAACCGGAGCUAAUACCGGAUAAUAUUUUGAACCGCAUGGUUCAAAAGUAAAAGACGGUCUUGCUGUCACUUAUAGAUGGAUCCGCGCUGCAUUAGCUAGUUGGUAAGGUAACGGCUUACCAAGGCAACGAUGCAUAGCCGACCUGAGAGGGUGAUCGGCCACCCUGGAACUGAGACACGGUCCAGACUCCUACGGGAGGCAGCAGUAGGGAAUCUUCCGCAAUGGGCGAAGGCCUGACGGAGCAACGCCGCGUGAGUGAUGAAGGUCUUCGGAUCGUAAAACUCUGUUAUUCGGGAAGAACAUAUGUGUAAGUAACUGUGCACAUCUUGACGGUACCUAAUCAGAAAGCCACGGCUACCUACG